rnacentral:lncRNA from 1 species
ACAUUAACAAAUAGUUGAAACCAACAACUUCUACGUUCAAAAUGAUGUGUAUCCUAUCUAAAACUCACCCCAGCCCCUCGGGCUCCAAUUCAAACAUGCACAUAAGUGUAAUAGCAUCACACAAAUUCGUUGCACGAUCAAAACACCAAAAUAACACCUAAAACUACGAAUCGAACAUCAAAAUGGAUGAAAUUUCAAAGAAAU